rnacentral:rRNA from 1 species
UACGGGGGGAGCAAGCGUUGUUCGGAUUUACUGGGCGUAAAGGGCGCGUAGGCGGUCAGCACAAGUCAGUUGUGAAAUCUCCGAGCUUAACUCGGAAAGGUCAACUGAUACUGUGCGACUAGAGUGCAGAAGGGGCAACUGGAAUUCUCGGUGUAGCGGUGAAAUGCGUAGUUAUCGAGAGGAACACCUGCGGCGAAGGCGGGUUGCUGGGCUGACACUGACGCUGAGGCGCGAAAGCUAGGGGAGCGAACGGG